rnacentral:rRNA from 1 species
GGGGACAAACCUUUUGAAAAAUUUGACCUCAAAUCAGGUAGGACUACCCGCUGAACUUAAGCAUAUCAAUAAGCGGAGGAAAAGAAACUAACAAGGAUUCCCCUAGUAACUGCGAGUGAAGCGGGAAAAGCUCAAAUUUAAAAUCUGGUAGUCUUUUGGCUGCCCGAGUUGUAAUCUAGAGAAGUGUUAUCCGUGCUGGACCGUGUACAAGUCUCCUGGAAUGGAGCGUCAUAGAGGGUGAGAAUCCCGUCUUUGACACGGACUACCAGGACUUUGUGAUGCGCUCUCAAAGAGUCGAGUUGUUUGGGAAUGCAGCUCUAAAUGGGUGGUAAAUUCCAUCUAAAGCUAAAUAUUGGCGAGAGACCGAUAGCGAACAAGUACCGUGAGGGAAAGAUGAAAAGAACUUUGGAAAGAGAGUUAAACAGUACGUGAAAUUGUUGAAAGGGAAACGCUUGAAGUCAGUCACGUUGGCCAGGGAUCAACCUUGCUUUUCUGCUUGGUGUACUUUCUGGUUGAUGGGUCAGCAUCAAUUUUAACCAGUGGAAAAAGGUCAGGGGAAUGUGGCAUCUUCGGAUGUGUUAUAGCCCUUGGUUGCAUACAUUGGUUGGGAUUGAGGAACUCAGCACGCCGCAAGGCCGGGUU